AAGGAUUUAAGUUAAUCAUAAACUUUUAGCCUUCAAAGCUAACAAUAAAAUAAUUUUAAGCCUUA
rnacentral:tRNA from 1 species